rnacentral:rRNA from 1 species
UACGUAGGGUGCGAGCGUUGUCCGGAAUUACUGGGCGUAAAGAGCGCGUAGGUGGUUUGUCGCGUUGUCCGUGAAAACUCACAACUCAAUUGUGGGCGUGCGGGCGAUACGGGCAGACUGGAGUACUGCAGGGGAGACUGGAAUUCCUGGUGUAGCGGUGGAAUGCGCAGAUAUCAGGAGGAACACCGGUGGCGAAGGCGGGUCUCUGGGCAGUAACUGACGCUGAGGAGCGAAAGCGUGGGGAGCGAACAGG